rnacentral:rRNA from 1 species
UACGUAGGGGGCAAGCGUUGUCCGGAAUCAUUGGGCGUAAAGAGCGUGUAGGCGGCCCGGUAAGUCCGCUGUGAAAGUCCAGGGCUCAACCCUGGGAUGCCGGUGGAUACUGUCGGGCUCGAGUCCGGAAGAGGAGUGUGGAAUUCCUGGUGUAGCGGUGAAAUGCGCAGAUAUCAGGAGGAACACCAAUGGCGAAGGCAGCACUCGUGGGACG